AUGAACGCUGGCGGCGUGCCUAACACAUGCCAGUCGAGCGAAGCACUUACUUUAGAUUUCUUCGGAAUGACGAAGUUUGUGACUGAGCGGCGGACGGGUGAGUAACGCGUGGGCAACCUGCCCUGUACAGGGGGAUAACAGUUAGAAAUGACUGCUAAUACCGCAUAAGCCCACAGCUUCGCAUGAAGCAGUGGGAAAAACUCCGGUGGUACAGGAUGGGCCCGCAUCUGAUUAGCUAGUUGGUAAGGUAACGGCUUACCAAGGCGACGAUCAGUAGCCGACCUGAGAGGGUGACCGGCCACAUUGGGACUGAGACACGGCCCAAACUCCUACGGGAGGCAGCAGUGGGGAAUAUUGCACAAUGGGGGAAACCCUGAUGCAGCGACGCCGCGUGAGCGAUGAAGUAUUUCGGUAUGUAAAGCUCUAUCAGCAGGGAAGAAAGUGACGGUACCUGACUAAGAAGCCCCGGCUAACUACGUG
rnacentral:rRNA from 1 species